rnacentral:rRNA from 1 species
GUCCUACGGGGCGCAGCAGUGGGGAAUAUUGCACAAUGGGGGAAACCCUGAUGCAGCAACGCCGCGUGAGUGAAGAAGGUUUUCGGAUUGUAAAGCUCUGUUAGCAGGGAAGAGGAAGGACGGUACCUGAAGAAAAAGCAUCGGCUAACUCCGUGCCAGCAGCCGCGGUAAUACGGAGGAUGCGAGCGUUAUCCGGAUUUAUUGGGUUUAAAGGGUGCGCAGGCGGUCUGUUAAGUCAGCGGUCAAAGCCCGGGGCUCAACCCCGGCCCGCCGUUGAAACUGGCAGUCUCGAGUUGGAGAGAAGU